rnacentral:lncRNA from 1 species
CGGAAGGGAAGACCACAUUGGUGGUCUCGGAGGUUCCAGGGAAGGUGACCCUUGGAGGGGCAAUGCUCGCCCCACAUGGAAAUUCACACUCCAGCCAAAACGCAGCUGACAGUGAGGAUGUUUUCCGCUGAGAGGAGCCAUAAUUAGACCUAAACAUUAACAGCAAAUCCAGGACCAUCCCUCACCAAGUAGGAGAAUAAGGGAGUCUAGGCUGUAAUCGGGCCUGAUUUCCCAAAGGAACAUAUAUGUUUUCUUAACCUUAUCCAACAGUAUUUUAUGAUUCUAGGCCCUUGAUUGGGGCCUAUACAGGACCAGCUACUCCCAGAAAACGAACAGAAAAGAGAACAUUUUCCGAGUGUGCUCUUUCCUCCUCUUGGCUUCUGUGUCUGUGUUAUUCCCAGGCAGAGGGUAGGAUCCAUCGGAUUUUCCAUAUUCCUAGGCCAGUUUUGAAAGCUCCUCCCCAGAUGCUGAGACCACAUUUCCCGUGCAGGAGGAGGUGGAUGGGGAGAGUUUGCAUCUGGGAGUAUAAUUCAGAUGACUUUUAUCAUCAGUACAUGUCACAAGAAAACAUUUAAAAUGACACUGAAACAAUCAUUGAAAUCAUGGUGCAUGGAGGAAAAAGGUAAAGAAAACAACUUUUGGCUUGUUUUGGCAUGAGACCUUGAUACAAUUUGGGUUCCCCAAAACCAUGUGAAGGGUGGUAAAAUAGAAAUGCUCAAAACUGACUUAAAAAAAUAAACAGGCUUUACAAAAACCCUCUUUUUUCUUAACCCAGCCACUUCUCGACAUGGUCUGCACAUACAGUAGAUACAUUCAUUAUUGUCCAAGGGAAGACAGUAACUGCCUUUCAUUUUAAAGAGCUUGGUGGAGAGGCUGAAGAAAUGUGCUGCAGCUGAAGCUACCUUUCCCCCAAGCACAGGAGGCCUCAGCUCCUGAAGCUCUGAAUUUACAGUACACAGUAGCAGACGGCUUGCCCUUUGGAAGGCUCCAUGGAAAGAAGGCUCAUCCCUGACUUGGGGCAACUUGACCGAAGUUUCUACUCUCCAGAAUCUCUUUUCUGUGGUCACCCGACUGGCAAGUGGAAGAUGGAAGCACCAAGGUUCCUGCAAAAGAUAGAUCAAGACCUUUGCUAUCAACCUUUCAGCCCAUCCCAAUGGCCUUGAAUGGCACGUGUCCUGGAAAACCAGGUCUGCUGCCUGUACGCCCGAGCGAAACCUAUGCUCAGCUGGAGAAGAGGACAGCCUUUCAGGGUUCAUGAAUGUUCUCCCUAGAACAGAUGGAAUGGCAGCUACAAUGCCCUUGGGAAUGUGAGGUCCUGGUGGAGUCUCUGGGGAAGUGAAAGAAGCUCCUUUAACUUGACUCCACUCACAGGACAAAGUGCAGGAGACAGAACAGAAUGGAUAGAAGAGGCUUCUCCUUUCUUCUUGCUCUAGAGUGAAGGAGAUGGACAGUUACCUUGAAAUGCUACGGGAAGGAUGAGCAUGGAGAGCUGCCUGUUAUUCUGAGCCAACUUCUGGCAAGAUGCUGGGUGAAUCGACUGCCUAGAAUUGAAGAACUGGCUCUCAAGCAGUUGCUGCUAAAGAAUGCCAGCAAACAAACCACACACAACUGUGGUAAGCCAGGCGGAAAUCCCUCCACCCUCUGGCAUGAGAUGGCAGUCUAGAAAGGACUCUCCAUGAGAUGCCUGGGGCCUGAGGAAGCAGAGGCAUGGACACACUGUUCUACGAUGACUCAGGGCCACCCAUGAGUGGGACAUUCGUGGGGAUGAGAUGGGAGCAGGGAGAAGCAGCAGUUGUAAUGGCCAGCCACGUGGGGACCAGUUCCGUGCCUGGCCUUUCUUUCUCUGGUGGAAGCCAUCUUGUUUUGAUCCUAAGAAAAAUGGGUGUCAUUUUAUCCAGGAAUCUAAGAAUUAUAAUAAUAAAUUAAUAAAGUGAAUGUGAUAAUCAAACUGUGAGGAUACGAACAACAUAAGAUUUAAUGAUCGUUGUCAAAACCAGUCCGUAGGGCUGUGGAACUUUAUCGUACAAUUCGACUUUGAUAUGUGUUUAAAUAUAUUUUCUAAGUUAUCCACAACCCAAAACAGGACCCCUUAGAGGUAAUCUAGAGGAAUCCCUCACGUUACAGACAGAGCCACUGGUUAAGGGUCUAGAGUCACACAGGGAGUUACUGCAGAAUCACUACUGGAACCCUGUGCUCUUUCUGCAGGGAUUCGGAUAUUUUGGUUGGAUUUGCAUUCUUACGUCAAUGUAUGUUCUCCAACUCUGCUCUUACAUAUUGAAAGGCAGGCAGCUAUUUUUAAACACCCUGCCUAUUAGCCUUCGGAACAUAAUAAUAAUGGCAAGCACCCUUUAUUGCUUCACCGAGCUGCAGACACCCUUCUAGGGUGUGAACAGAGCUCAGUAAAGAUAGCAGCCUCAGGUCUGUGUGUUGCUUUGAGCCACGAGCUGGUCUGCAGGCAGCAGCCAUGGGCCGUGCCUGUGUUGGUAUGUUUAAGAACAUUGGCGAAUACAGGAAUUACAUGGACUAGGUUUAGAAAACAAACAGUAACGUACAAAAAGGAAGGUUUGAUAUGGACUGCAAGGACAUAAAGCAGGUGCACAUGCGUGCACUACCAGAAUAGCUACACGGUGGGAAGGAAUUCCAGAACCACGUGAGAAAGAGUUGUUAGGACAAUGCAGUCGUGAAAUACCAUGUUUCCAACCCUAUCACUCUAUUUUAAAAUAGAUAAUAAUUAUAAUUUUUAUUAAUAUCAAACAAAUUAGCUUUGGGACCUAUGGCCCUAACUUAGGGGUCACGGCUGCAGUCCCCUUUCUUGCAGACCUGGCAGGCUGCGCAGAUAACUGCCCCCAGCGUUGGCCAACUCUGGACGCUCUCUUCUCCCAUAAAGACACCAGAGAGUGCUCUUCAGCCCCCGUGUUUCAAAGGGAGAACCCAAACCCACCCUAACUUCUGGCAAGACAAAUCACUUAUUAUAGCUGCUCACCUCUUCACAGAGUACCCACCUCCAGGAAAGGUCACUAAAGGUCCUGCCUGGGCCCCUGGCGUGGCACAGGGUCAUGGUCAGUCUUCUCUGGAGCCUGAGUCAGGGCCUGGUGGGGAAAGGCGGUGUCACUUAUAAGGGAGUGGGGAGGUGAGAGCUGGAAAGGGCUGGAAUGGCACCUUUUUAAAGGAAUAAAGCCCUUUAAAGAUCUUCAACUCAGGGACUUGGUCUCUUUGAGAAACAGCACCAUAAUCUAAUUGGAAUAAAAAAAGGAUCUAUUUAAUUAGAAAGAGACUGUUAGGAACUGGAAGCUGGGGAAAGGAGUAGGGACUCACUGGGCCCUUCUCAGGGAUAACAAAGAAUCAAGGGCCUCAGUAGCAAAUUACAGAGUUUAUUUUGAAAAUUCAAAUAAAACCACAAAAAUUCAAAUAAAAACACAUUCUAGACUAUAUCUUUGUAAGCUUUGGGGGACAAACCUCAAAGAGUCCUCCCAAAGGAAAACGCACCAGCUAAGCCAGGUGCCUCCAGGCUCGUAUAAAGGGGAAGGUGAGGUCAGGAGGCCAACAGCCAUUUUUUAGAAGAAUGACACCGCAAGACGUUCCUGGUCUACUAUUUCGCAUGAGGAAAACACGCUUUGGCUUCUGGUGGCUCAAUUGAGAUAAAAGCAGAGAGAGGUACAAUAAAAGGAAUUCAUAACAAACAUUAUGAACACCUGCUUGGAUUAAAAAGUUGACGGUUUCCUGAAACGGGCUCUGCUAAAAGGGACUUCCUGGAGAAAUCAGAUGCCUCUGGAAUGGAAGACGUCCAGGAAAGUUGGGAUGGCUGAACAACAGGU